rnacentral:lncRNA from 1 species
GUCCCCUAUGUGUCCCUAUGUGUCCCUAUGUGUCCCUAUGUGUCCCUAUGGUUCCCUAUGGGUCCCCAUUGCCCCUAUAACCCCCUGUAGGGCUCUAUGGGGUCUAUGUGUCCCUAUGUGACCCUAUGGGGUCUAUGGGGCCCUAUAGGGUCUGUGUGUUCCCUAUGGGGUCUAUGUGUCCCUCUGGGUUCCCAUUGCCCCUAUAACCCCCUGUAGGGCUCUAUGGGGUCUAUGUGUCCCUAUGUGUCCCUAUGUGUCCCUAUGGUUCCCUAUAUGUCACUAUGGGGUUUCCAUUGACCCUAUGUGUCCCUAUGGUUCCCUAUGGGGUCCCUGUGUCCCUAUGUGUCCCUAUGUGUCCCUAUGUGUCCCUAUGUGUCCCUAUGUGUCUCUAUGUGUCCCUAUAUCCCCUAUGUGUCCCUAUGUUCCCUAUGUGUCCCUAUGUGUCCCUAUGGUUCCCUAUGUGUCCCCAUUGCCCCUAUAACCCCCUGUAGGGCUCUAUGGGGUCUAUGUGUCCCUAUGUGUCCCUAUGGGGUUUCCAUUGCCCCCAUAUCCCCUAUGUGUCCCUAUGGGUCCCUAUGUGUCCCUAUGGGGUCUAUGUGUCCCUAUGUGUCCCUAUGGUCCCUAUGUGUCCCUAUGGUCCCUAUGUGUCUCUAUGUGUCCCUAUGUGUCCCUAUGUGUCACUAUGGUCCCUAUGUGUCCCUAUGUGUCACUAUGUGUCCCUAUGUGUCCC